AUACGGAGGGUGCAAGCGUUAAUCGGAAUUACUGGGCGUAAAGCGCGCGUAGGCGGUUUGGUCAGUCGGAUGUGAAAGCCCUGGGCUUAACCUGGGAACGGCAUUCGAUACUGCAGAGCUAGAGUAUGGUAGAGGGGAGUGGAAUUUCAGGUGUAGCGGUGAAAUGCGUAGAGAUCUGAAGGAACACCAGUGGCGAAGGCGACUCCCUGGACUAAAACUGACGCUGAGGUACGAAAGCGUGGGUAGCAAACAGGAUUAGAAACCCCAGUAGUCC
rnacentral:rRNA from 1 species